rnacentral:SRP_RNA from 13 species
GGCCUAGCAACGUGGGCCUGUAACCCAAGUGGGGGCAUGUGGGAAAUGGGACUUUAGUUCGGCCCAUUGGAUCGGAUCCAGUGUUAGCUGCUUGCUGGGCUGCCCAUUCCAAGCCGAGAGUUGAGCUGUGUGAGCCGGACGAAGGUCUGGCUUGGUCAGCUCCUAAAGCGGAGGGCAAUGCGUGAGGCUGGUUUCACAGAGCAGCGACAACCUCCCGCUCUCGGCAGUGGAAGGAUAACGGGCCGGUGCUGCUUGGACCCACCAUGGUUCACUGAGCUGACUCUUAAUAGGACCAUUUCUUUU